rnacentral:rRNA from 1 species
UACAGGGGGGGCAAGCGUUGUUCGGAAUUACUGGGCGUAAAGGGCUCGUAGGUGGCCAACUAAGUCAGACGUGAAAUCCCUCGGCUUAACUGGGGAACUGCGUCUGAUACUGGAUGGCUUGAGUUUGGGAGAGGGAUGCGGAAUUCCAGGUGUAGCGGUGAAAUGCGUAGAUAUCUGGAGGAACACCGGUGGCGAAGGCGGCAUCCUGGACCAACACUGACACUGAGGAGCGAAAGCCAGGGGAGCAAACGGG